rnacentral:rRNA from 1 species
GCGGAUGGAGCUGACGAGAGUCGCAGAUACCAGGUGGCUGCAACUGUUUAUUAAAAACACAGCACUGUGCAAAAUCGUAAGAUGACGUAUACGGUGUGACGCCUGCCCGGUGCCGGAAGGUUAAUUGAUGGGGUUAGACUUCGGUCGAAGCUCUUGAUCGAAGCCCCGGUAAACGGCGGCCGUAACUAUAACGGUCCUAAGGUAGCGAAAUUCCUUGUCGGGUAAGUUCCGACCUGCACGAAUGGCGUAAUGAUGGCCACGCUGUCUCCACCCGAGACUCAGUGAAAUUGAAAUCGCUGUGAAGAUGCAGUGUACCCGCGGCUAGACGGAAAGACCCCGUGAACCUUUACUACAGCUUGGCACUGAACAUUGACCCUACAUGUGUAGGAUAGGUGGGAGACUUUGAAACCGCGUCGCUAGAUGUGGUGGAGUCGUCCUUGAAAUACCACCCUUGUAGUGUUGAUGUUCUAACGUUGGUCCCUGAAUCGGGAUUACGGACAGUGCCUGGUGGGUAGUUUGACUGGGGCGGUCUCCUCCCAAAGAGUAACGGAGGAGCACGAAGGUGGGCUAAUCACGGUUGGACAUCGUGAGGUUAGUGCAAUGGCAUAAGCCCGCUUGACUGCGAGAAUGACAAUUCGAGCAGGUGCGAAAGCAGGUCAUAGUGAUCCGGUGGUUCUGAAUGGAAGGGCCAUCGCUCAACGGAUAAAAGGUACUCCGGGGAUAACAGGCUGAUACCGCCCAAGAGUUCAUAUCGACGGCGGUGUUUGGCACCUCGAUGUCGGCUCAUCACAUCCUGGGGCUGAAGUCGGUCCCAAGGGUAUGGCUGUUCGCCAUUUAAAGUGGUACGCGAGCUGGGUUUAGAACGUCGUGAGACAGUUCGGUCCCUAUCUGCCGUGGGCGUUGGAAGAUUGAAGGGGGCUGCUCCUAGUACGAGAGGACCGGAGUGGACGAACCUCUGGUGUUCGGGUUGUCAUGCCAAUGGCAUUGCCCGGUAGCUAAGUUCGGAAUCGAUAACCGCUGAAAGCAUCUAAGCGGGAAGCGAGCCCUGAGAUGAGUCUUCCCUGGCGCUUUAAGCGUCCUAAAGGGUUGUUCAAGACUAGAACGUUGAUAGGCAGGGUGUGUAAGCGCUGUGAGGCGU